GAUGAACGCUGGCGGCGUGCUUAACACAUGCAAGUCGAACGAUGAUGCCCAGCUUGCUGGGUGGAUUAGUGGCGAACGGGUGAGUAACACGUGAGUAACCUGCCCUUGACUCUGGGAUAAGCCUGGGAAACUGGGUCUAAUACCGGAUACGACCAUCUGGCGCAUGUCAUGGUGGUGGAAAGCUUUUGUGGUUUUGGAUGGACUCGCGGCCUAUCAGCUUGUUGGUGGGGUAAUGGCCUACCAAGGCGACGACGGGUAGCCGGCCUGAGAGGGUGACCGGCCACACUGGGACUGAGACACGGCCCAGACUCAGACGGGAGGCAGCAGUGGGGAAUAUUGCACAAUGGGCGCAAGCCUGAUGCAGCGACGCCGCGUGAGGGAUGACGGCCUUCGGGUUGUAAACCUCUUUCAGUAGGGAAGAAGCGAAAGUGACGGUACCUGCAGAAGAAGCGCCGGCGAACUACGU
rnacentral:rRNA from 1 species